rnacentral:rRNA from 1 species
GACGAACGCUGGCGGCGUGCCUAAUACAUGCAAGUAGAACGCACAGUUUAUACCGUAGCUUGCUACACCAUAGACUGUGAGUUGCGAACGGGUGAGUAACGCGUAGGUAACCUGCCUGGUAGCGGGGGAUAACUAUUGGAAACGAUAGCUAAUACCGCAUAAUAUUGAUUAUUGCAUGAUAAUUGAUUGAAAGAUGCUAUUGAAUCACUGCCAGAUGGACCUGCGUUGUAUUAGCUAGUAGGUGAGGUAACGGCUCACCUAGGCGACGAUACAUAGCCGACCUGAGAGGGUGAUCGGCCACACUGGGACUGAGACACGGCCCAGACUCCUACGGGAGGCAGCAGGAGGGAAACUUCGGCAAUGGACGAAAGUCUGACCGAGCAACGCCGCGUGAGUGAAGAAGGUUUUCGGAUCGUAAAGCUCUGUUGCAAGAGAAGAACGGGUGUGAGAGUGGAAAGUUCACACUGUGACGGUAACUUACCAGAAAGGGACGGCUAACUACGUG